AACUGUUCUCAGGGCGGGGCGAAAUUCCCCACCGGCGGUAUAUGGAAACAUGAGCCCGCGAGCGCCUCAAUCGAGGGUCAGCAGAUCGGGUGAGAUGCCCGAGCCGACAGUAUAGUCUGGAUGAAAGAGAACGAUC
rnacentral:ncRNA from 2 species